rnacentral:rRNA from 1 species
AUUGAACGCUGGCGGCAGGCUUAACACAUGCAAGUCGAACGAGUGGCGGCCGGGUGAGUAAUGUGUGGGAAUCUAGCUUAUGGAGGGGGAUAACUACGGGAAACUGUCGCUAAUACCGCAUACCAUGGGAUGAGCACAAGUGGGAUUAGGUAGUGGGUGGGGUAAAGGCUCCCCAGGGCGACGCUCUCUAGCUGGUCUGAGAGGAUGACCAGCCACACUGGAACUGAGACACGGCCCAGACUCCUACGGGAGGCAGCAGUGGGGAAUAUUGCGCAAUGGGGGCAACCUGACGCAGCCAUGCCGCGUGAAUGAAGAAGGCCUUCGGGUUGUAAAGUUCUUUCGGUAGCGAGGCGUUAACUACAGAAGAAGCACCGGCUAACUCCGUGCCAGCAGCCGCGGUAAUAC